AUGGGUCUAAAAUAGGUUACUGAGCUCAGCGGCGGUGGAGUAGGGAGGUCGCCAUAUUGUAUCCAACAGCUGACGGUUUGCAUUUUGAGGCAUGGCGAAAAACUACUCCGAAACAACUUCUUUCCAAUCAAACUCACGAUCUCAUCUACAGGAGCAGGGCGCAAAUAUUGUUAUCUCUUCGUGACACUGACGUAUGUUAUUCUACUGAGAAAAUGUGGAAUGACAUUCCAAUAUUAGAAAUCGAAGUAUGUGGUACACCAGCCGAUGUUUGGAGGAAUUGUCUUUUUAAUGAACCGAGCCAAUGGAAAAAGUAUGAUUUUACUUGUGGGAGCUCUAUCCAACCCAUUUCGAUCUUGGAGCCGAAUAUUCCUAAACCAUUGAUCACAUCAAACAAGUUACUUUUACCUCUGGAGUUUCAUAAAGUUUUAAAAAAGGUACAAUGUCGCCGACCUCUUUGUAGCAGCAGAUGCAAUGUAGAGACAACCCAAUUUUCAUCUAUUCAUUCAUUUGAAGCGAUCAACUAAGUGUUUGCUGGGGAAUGUAUUUAAAAUGAUUGACAUGGGCGAUCAGUAUCAAAUUGCUGGGGUCAUCAGUGCAUUUCAUGACCGAUACGUGGCCUUUUGUUUAGUGACUGGAAAGUGGUGGUUGUACGACAACCAGCAGCCAAACAUCCAAAUGACAUCAGAUGUAGAAUUCGUUGAACUGGUUGGAUUAGUUUAUUUAUUAUAUUUUAAAAAGUACAAUGAGUUG